ACCUGGGUAGCUCAGUAGGUUAAGCAUCUGACUUUGGCUCAGGUCAUGAUUUCACGGUUUGUGAGCUUGAGUCCCACUUCGGGUG
rnacentral:tRNA from 1 species